AUCCAGCUGACGAGUCCCAAAAUGGGAAGAAACGCGCCUCCUGGAU
rnacentral:hammerhead_ribozyme from 1 species